rnacentral:lncRNA from 1 species
CCCAAUAUAAUGUUCAUAAAUAUUUAAGGUUAUUUCAUCCUCAGGAUAGGUGCAAUAUAUAUCUGAUACAAGAAACCUAAGAAAUCACAGAUUCAUUAUUCACUACAAAAAAGAAGAAUCAGACUAACACUCGGAUUAAAAAAAAUAAAAAAAAAACUCUGUUUCUAGUUUUAUCGAUAACAAGACCCAAAGAACAACAUUAAAACAAAACUUAAUCUUGAAUCAAAUAACUGCAAAUAAAUCGAAUUAAAUUGAAUAAAUUAUACUGAAGUUAUUGAAUUCAAU